UACGGGGGGGGCAAGCGUUGUUCGGAAUUACUGGGCGUAAAGGGCUCGUAGGCGGCCAACUAAGUCGGAUGUGAAAUCCCCAGGCUCAACUUGGGAACUGCAUCCGAUACUGGAUGGCUUGAAUUCGGGAGAGGGAUGCAGAAUUCCAGGUGUAGCGGUGAAAUGCGUAGAUAUCUGGAGGAACACCGGUGGCGAAGGCGGUUCUCUGGGCCUGUACUGACGCUGAGGAGCGAAAGCGUGGGGAGCGAACAGG
rnacentral:rRNA from 1 species